rnacentral:tRNA from 1 species
GAAAUAUAAAGACUAAGAAUAAGCUUCUAACUUAAUUCUUUAGCAGUUAAAUUCUGUUAAUAUUUCU